rnacentral:rRNA from 1 species
GGCGUGAAACCGUUAAUUGGCAAACGAAUCGGAGCCACGAAGUCGUUUCGCCGUUGAGUCGGGGCCAAGUUCAGCUGACGUUCAUCAGAGCAUCGGUGUAUUCUUGGUCUGGCCAACUUUGUAAGCGUACACUGCAACUAGUUAGACGAUUGGUCAUGGGCCAAGUUACUCGUGUUAGUAGUAGCGCGGUGCCUCUCGGGGUAUUCGGCGUUGCUUGGCACGUGGUAAGUGAGCUACGACCAAAUACUGACUAGCGAAAUGAAAAUCGCCUCUUUGGCGUUAAAGAUAAUGCGGCUAGUAACAUGGGUGUCUACACGCACGACUAUUGGGUCUAAGCUCGGCAUUUUUGAAUUCAGACUUGCUUGCUAUCAGUGGGGCAACCCCUGGUGCUUGUAUAGUUUCUGUCUAAUCGGAUGUUGACUUGGCCUAGUAUUGUUCGGACGUGAACCGAUUGGAUGCAAAUGUGAACUGGUUUGCAAUAUGAAUUGGCAGUGAGUAGGUCGGCUUUCCGAACGACCCGUCUUGAAACACGGACCAAGGAGUCUAGUUAGGCAUCGAGUCGAUCGGUCUUGAAUAGGCCAGAUAGAUACGUUU